rnacentral:lncRNA from 1 species
AAGGCCUGAAAACGGAGACGGCCAGGACGUGGGGCUGCGGGAGGGGCCAGCUCCCCGGGGGCGCCUCCCUGCGGAGCAGGAGCGCCCCGGACGCCACCUGAUCUCACUGGGGUCCCGAAAGGUCGCUUUCAAGCGACCCUUUUGAAGACGGGCGGAAAGAAUCUGCUGCAGAAGCCUGGCUCCGAUGGAGAGCCAGCUGCUUUUUGCAGACAGGCUGGGGCCGUGGGCAGUGAGGAGGGCCGGCAGUUCCAGGGGGAAGACCUUUCCCUCCUGGGAGGUUGCACCUGGCUGCAGGCGCUGCCUGGAGUGGAAGAAAGACGACCGGACAUAGCACUGAACACCAGCCUUUGAAAACAAUGCAAGCUUGCCCCUCCCCUGAUCCUUAUCUGCAGCCCUGUUUUUCACUCCCCAAACUAUAAAACUCUAAAACGCCUCCCAAUCUCUGCUAAGGGGGUGGCACCGUCUUCAAGGCACUAGACUGCGGCGACCUUCCUUUGCCUGGCAAAGCAAUAAAGCUAUUUUUAUCCCUUCACCCAAAUCCCUGUCUCCACGUUCCCAUUCAGCACUGGUGAGCAGAGAUCACGUUGGGGUGACAAGGUCAGGGCAAGUUGCUGUGCCUGAAGCACCGUGGAGCCAAACAAAUCCACACAAUGGAGUUUGGAGCAGCGAAAGGUUUAUUAUGGGCCAUGCAAGGAGAUUGCGGCGAGGGGGGGGGGGGGGGGGGCUUGCUCCGCCCCAAAAGCCCAAACUCCCGAACAAAAUUGUAAAGCAUUUUUUAAAAAUUUUACUUUAUUUUAUAAUUACUUUUUUUGGGCUUGGUCU